rnacentral:rRNA from 1 species
GAUGAACGCUGGCGGCGUGCUUAACACAUGCCAGUCGAACGGAAAGGCCCAAGCUUGCUUGGGUACUCGAGUGGCGAACGGGUGAGUAACGCGUGGGUGAUCUGCCCUGCACUUCGGGAUAAGCCUGGGAAACUGGGUCUAAUACCGGAUAGGACCACAUUUUGGAUGGUGUGGUGGAAAGUUUUUCGGUGUGGGAUGAGCUCGCGGCCUAUCAGCUUGUUGGUGGGGUAAUGGCCUACCAAGGCGUCGACGGGUAGCCGGCCUGAGAGGGUGUACGGCCACAUUGGGACUGAGAUACGGCCCAGACUCCUACGGGAGGCAGCAGUGGGGAAUAUUGCACAAUGGGCGCAAGCCUGAUGCAGCGACGCCGCGUGGGGGAUGACGGCCUUCGGGUUGUAAACUCCUUUCGCUAGGGACGAAGCGCAAGUGACGGUACCUGGAGAAGAAGCACCGGCUAACUACGUG